rnacentral:lncRNA from 1 species
AUAACUUUCGUCAGUAACUUGUAUUGGAUCUAUUCCAGGUCCUAGAAAUGGGUCAGUAACAUGUUUAUCAUUCAUCUGGUUGUGUUGUUUCUUUCAAGAAUCAGCUAAGCAAUACGAGGUGGAAGUUGCCAUUAGCUCUGAAAUGGUUUUUGUUUUAAGUUCUGGAAGUUAUCAUUAGCUCUGAAAUGGUUUUUGUUUUAAGUUUAAGUUGUUAGAGAUGACACCACUUGUAUUUGUUUAAUCAUAUCUUCAACAUACCUCCUCACAUGCAAUUUUAGAAUUUUAGAAUUGGAUUUGCACUGCCUGCAUUAAUCGAUUAUAAACUGAUAGAGAUGUACUUUCUGUCCUCUCUUAAUGAAAUCUAUCAAUUAGUUUUGCUUUCAUAGUUAAUGACUGAGCUGGUUACCAGUAGAUUAGUCAUAUAUGACGUUACUUUCUAUAUAUUAUUUUUUAUGAAUACAAAUGUAUUUUUCUAAGGUGAGCAGCUCCCCAGUUUCAAGAGUUAGCUGCUUCACUCAGGUUUGCUCGAUGUCUCUUUCCCGGUACGUCUUCUAGGUUUACUGAUAGAAGUGCUAAUGGUUUGAUCUGGAAUUUCGUUUUUGUGUUUGAUCUUGCCUCUUAGUUUGAUUUAUUUCACUUGUGUGCAAUUUGGCGCGUUGGGAUAUACAUAUAUUUCUAUUUGAGGUUUGUUUUACCUAUGCAUGACAUAGUUCUGUAUGUGUGAACUGAGUUUGGGAAUUUUUUGUUCCUUAUGCACUGCAGGAAUUUGCGGUAGUGAGGUUUUCUGUGUGAAGAUCAGCUCUCCUCCAUGGGCUUGACACAAAUUAGAUUUGAAUUUGCUUGAAAUGGUUGCUGGACCUGACUCUUAAAACACGGGAACUGCUAACUGUUGGUUCUGGAAUUCAAAGAGCCUAAGCAGAUAAACCAACAGGACAUCAUUUACAUUAAUAUUAUUUGAUAGAGGAUG